rnacentral:rRNA from 1 species
CCUACGGGAGGCAGCAGUGAGGAAUAUUGGUCAAUGGACGAGCGUCUGACCCAGCCAAGUAGCGUGAAGGAUGACUGCCCUAUGGGUUGUCAACUUCUUUUAUCUGGGCAUCCAACGUUCCACGUGUGGGAUUUUGUAUGUACCAUAUGAAUAAGGAUCGGCUAACUCCGUGCCAGCAGCCGCGGUAAUACGGAGGAUCCGAGCGUUAUCCGGAUUUAUUGGGUUUAAAGGGAGCGUAGGUGGAUUGUUAAGUCAGUUGUGAAAGUUUGCGGCUCAACCGUAAAAUUGCAGUUGAAACUGGCAGUCUUGAGUACAGUAGAGGUGGGCGGAAUGCGUGGUGUAGCGGUGAAAUGCUUAGAUAUCACGAAGAACGCCGAUUGCGAAGGCAGUUCACUGGACUGCAACUGACACUGAGGCUCGAAAGUGUGGGUAUCAAACAGGAUUAGAUACCCCAGUAGUC